rnacentral:rRNA from 1 species
AUUGAACGCUGGCGGCAGGCCUACCACAUGCAAGUCGAGCGGAGCGGCGGACGGGUGAGUAAUGCCUAGGAAUCUGCCUGGUCGUGGGGGCUCACGUCCGGAAACGGGCGCUAAUACCGCAUACUAUCAGAUGAGCCUAGGUCGGAUUCGCUAGGUGGUGGGGUAAAGGCCUACCAAGGCGACGAUCCGUAACUGGUCUGAGCGGAUGAUCAGUCACACUGGAACUGAGAGACGGUCCAGACGCCUACGGGAGGCAGCAGUGGGGAAUAUUGGACAAUGGGAGAAAGCCUUAUCCAGACAUGCCGCGGGUGUGAAGAAGGUCUUCGGAUUGUAAAGCACUUUAAGUUGGGAGGCGUUACCAACAGAAGAAGCACCGGCUAACUUCGUGCCAGCAGCCGCGGUAAUUC